GGAUGAAGAACGCAGCGAAACGCGAUAUGUAAUGUGAAUUGCAGAAUUCAGUGAAUCAUCGAAUCUUUGAACGCACCUUGCGCCCUUUGGCCAUUCCGAAGGGCAUGCCUGUUUGAGUAUCAUGAACACCUCAACUCUCAUGGCUCGCCAUGAUGAGCUUGGACUUUGGGGGUCUUGCUGGCCUGUGGUCGGCUCCUCUCAAAUGGAUCAGCUUGCCAGUGUUUGGUGGCAUCACAGGUGUGAUAACUAUCUGCGCUUGUGGUUUUCCAUCAGAUAACCUUCAGUGAUGGAGGUUCGCUGGAGCUCAUAAACGUCUCCCCUAAGCGGGGACAGCCCUUUGAAUGUUUGAUCUCAAAUCAGGUAGGACUACCCGCUGAACUUAAGCAUAUCAAUAAGCGGAGGA
rnacentral:misc_RNA from 1 species